UACGUAGGGUGCGAGCGUUAAUCGGAAUUAUUGGGCGUAAAGCGUGCGCAGGCGGUUUUGCAAGCCGGAUGUGAAAUCCCCGGGCUUAACCUGGGAAUGGCAUUUGGGACUGCAAGGCUGGAGUGCGGCAGAGGAGACUGGAAUUCCUGGUGUAGCAGUGAAAUGCGUAGAUAUCAGGAGGAACACCGAUGGCGAAGGCAGGUCUCUGGGCUGACACUGACGCUCAUGCACGAAAGCGUGGGGAGCAAACAGG
rnacentral:rRNA from 1 species